AGUGAACGCUGGCGGUAGGCCUAACACAUGCAAGUCGAACGGCAGCACAGUAAGAGCUUGCUCUUACGGGUGGCGAGUGGCGGACGGGUGAGGAAUACAUCGGAAUCUACUUUUUCGUGGGGGAUAACGUAGGGAAACUUACGCUAAUACCGCAUACGACCUACGGGUGAAAGCAGGGGAUCUUCGGACCUUGCGCGAUUGAAUGAGCCGAUGUCGGAUUAGCUAGUUGGCGGGGUAAAGGCCCACCAAGGCGACGCUCCGUAGCUGGUCUGAGAGGAUGAUCAGCCACACUGGAACUGAGACACGGUCCAGACUCCUACGGGCGGCAGCAGUGGGGAAUAUUGGCCAAUGGGCGCAAGCCUGAUCCAGCCAUACCGCGUGGGUGAAGAAGGCCUUCGGGUUGUAAAGCCCUUUUGUUGGGAAAGAAAAGCAGCAGGUUAAUACCCCGCUGCUCUGACGGUACCCAAAGAAUAAGCACCGGCUAACUUCGUG
rnacentral:rRNA from 1 species